rnacentral:misc_RNA from 1 species
UUAAUAAUUACGAAAAUAAAUCAGACAAAUAAGUUAUAAAAGAGUUUUAUAAAUCCUCUGGCAGGCACUGACCAGCAAAUUAGCCAGCGGUCUAAAGACGGGCCUACCAAAGCAACAAAGGUAUUGUAAGCAAAGGGUGGGGGAGAUAACCCCAAAGGGGUAUUUUCUCUGUAAUGAUCCUUCCGCAGGUUCACCUACGGAAA